GGUUUUUCUUCGAUUUGCAACGUUGUGAAUGCUUACACAUCUAUGGGUAUGUUCUUGCUUUGUUAAAAAGCACGGAGCUUUACGUCCUUCUCUCAAGAAUUUCAGUAUCUUCCAUGAAGUUAGUAAAUUUAUCUGUAUUUAUAUGAUGAGAUCAUAACUACGCAAAUUAAUAGUGUUGUACAUUGUUGCACAAGAUGUCUCUUUUGAGUUCGACUAAUAAUUCAAUUUUUAGACGAAUCCCUCAAGCUAACAAAGGAAAUCAAAGGCUUUUCAUUUCCUGUGUGAUUAUCAUAAAAAGGACUUCUUCUUGAAGACGAGAUUCUCGGUUCUGCGUUGUUAACCAUUGUUGAAAGAUAUGGCCUGUUGUGAUUCUCUCUGAGGCUUUCUUCUUCUGCCCAUGUGAGCUCCAUUCUAUGGAAGAAUGGCUCUUCCAUUAUCUCUUUCUGCUCUGAAGUUGAAUCUCCAAUAUAUGUUCUUAAUCCCAGUCUGUUGUCAAGCAUCUUUGGGGCUUUCUGAGUUCCUUCACUUGAGGUUAGGCAACUGUCCAGGGAGGAGUUAGGUGGAUACGUUUUUUGCAUCUGUUGAUGGUGUAGAUUCUGCAGUUCUUUCGGUUCGAGGAAACUAGAGUCUGGAUAGUCUGCUGAUACUUUAGAUACUAAUUCUGAGAGUUGAGCUUUUGUUGCUUCAAUCCCAGCUGCACCUAGGUUCUGUCUUCCAAGAGUCUCUUGUGCUUUCUCCAGAAUCGAUUGCAGAGUACAGUAUAUGAUAGAUACCUCAAGUUGCUCGUGUAGCCGUCUCUGGACCUCUAUUUGCAUUUGAAGGGCAUCACUUAUGGGUAAGUUCCUGCGUGCACAAAUAUAGGUCAUUUUUGAGAAUCUACUAAGGUAGAAUAUGUAAGCAAAUAGGCAUAUCCUUACAUGCUCGGCUGUGGUCCAAUGCUUAAACUCUCACUGUGACUUUCGUCUACUUCAGGGGGGUUUUCUUCUACCAUGGUCAUCACACCUAAACCAGGUUGCUUUUAGUUUACUUGAAGGAAAAUAGUAUGAAAAAAGAAUGAAUCUUUAGAUUAAAAUAUUUUUGUAUCUGAGUAAUGAAUAACUAAGCUUACUUGUCUUGUUUAAACUGCUGUUAGCUUGUCCAUUAAGAUUCUUGCUUAGCCUAUAUUUCUGGUAGUCAAAUCAUGAUAUUAAUAAUCUUUGUAAAACAAAAAACAGAUAUUACAGAUUUUUCAUAUCUUGACAUAUCGUCAUUUUUGUGCUACUUUAAUAGUUUUCUACCAAUCGAAUUGAUGAACGAGUCAUGUAAGUUUAGGGCCUUGGGCAUAUGACUGUAUAAAGUGUUGAUGGAUUACCUGAAGAUGACUCUUGAGAUGGUAUAAGGUAAGGCCUGGAAUGCCCAUGACUUUCAUGAUUGUCUUAGGAGUAGCCUCUGCGCAGACAAAAGUAUACACAUUAAUACAUUAUGUUCAAAAAGCCUGAUUGUAAAAGAUGGUUCAUUUGCUUAUAAGAUAACUUACUAUCUCCUCCUCCAAGCUGGUUGACCGCUUCAACAAAUCUCUCGUGAAGAUCUGGAGUCCAUUUUAGUCGUGGCUUUGCAUCAGUGGAGAGAAUGAGUCCAGAAUCUCCUGUGCCAUUUCCUCUGAGGAACGGAUGCCUUUCAGAAGAAAUGGGCAUUCUCGAUGAAGAGAGGAUGCUCUUUCCUUGGUGCUGGUUGUGGUAAUACAUAAGUCUGUCUUCAAAAUAAAAAGGCCGGGGUCUCUCAAGAGUAAAAAGUCUUUGCAACUUUGCUUUAUAUAGAAAGUUGAAUGGCAAAAAGGCAAAUUAGAGGAUGAUAACUAAGUCCACAGCUCCAACCUCUCUAUCUCUUGAGGGAGCAUAAUUCAACACGUGGGAUUGUGAUUCGCUUGAUUGAAUGAGAGAGGAUUGGAUACAUAAAACAGGAGGAAGCGGGAAAUGACCGCGGAAUUAUAUUCGUUUGGAGAGAAAAUGGAGGGUAAUAAGUGGGUUCGUUCAUGAGAUUCUAGAGAAUGAGAAUAUGAGAAUCCAAAACUAAAGAAAGCUUGGUGAGUCGCAUUCUCAACUCAAGAAUCUUUUUUGUUCAUCACAACCCGAACCCAAAAAAAAAAAGAGACUAUUCGGGUCUAUUUCUUUCCCCUUUUACUUAGUCUCGAUUUUUGUGGAUAUUUUAAUGAAUUGUGAUUCUUAUAAGCACAACAAAAGAUUAGGAGAAUCAUUGUAGGAGUUUUGUGUUCACCACAAGGCAGUGUUGUCUGCAUCCAACCGAAUCAUGUAGCAGUUUUGUUAUAUUGGUUUGAAUAUUAUGA
rnacentral:lncRNA from 1 species